UCUCAGCCUGAGAUGUUUGCCGGAGAUACCAUAAGCAAGAAAGACAAAGCUCGCAGCGCCUGCUGGGAGUGAUUCACGCGCUCGCUCUGGCUGUUAACUCUUGCCUAGUUUUAUCUCCGAGGGGAAAAACAAUCAAGAAACCAAACUAGAUGGCGAAUCCCAUGGAGACCGCUCUUCUAUAUUCCCACUUAUAAUGGAAAUCCUGGAACCUUUAUUGUGCGAGAGACUGAUAAAGUCAGUGAAAAGACGAUGGGGCUCGGUGCGGCUCAUUAGGCGUUUAUGUUCCCCGCAAUGUGACAGCUUGACAGGAAGCUUCCCGGGACGGUUCACUAAAAAUAAAUGAGAUGCUGUGAACUCUUUUCAUCAUCUGUCCUUUAAACCUGAUGAGUGAAAAAAAUCUGCCGAAGAAAAAAAACACCAGGCGGGUCAGGCAUUCCAUAUUUCCCUAUUGAUUCCUUUUAUGGCGGAACAGAAUUUGUAUUAGGUGAAUUUAGCUGAGUUGCAAUACCAGGAACAGCCUA